rnacentral:rRNA from 1 species
AGAGUUUGAUCCUGGCUCAGGACGAACGCUGGCGGCGUGCUUAACACAUGCAAGUCGAACGAGAAUCUGCGGAUCGAGGAUUCGUCCAAGUGAAGUAGAGGACAGUGGCGGACGGGUGAGUAACGCGUGAGGAACCUGCCUUUCAGAGGGGGACAACAGUUGGAAACGACUGCUAAUACCGCAUGACACAUUGGGGUCGCAUGGCCCUGAUGUCAAAGAUUUAUCGCUGAAAGAUGGCCUCGCGUCUGAUUAGCUAGUUGGUGAGGUAACGGCCCACCAAGGCGACGAUCAGUAGCCGGACUGAGAGGUUGACCGGCCACAUUGGGACUGAGAUACGGCCCAGACUCCUACGGGAGGCAGCAGUGGGGAAUUUUGCGCAAUGGGGGAAACCCUGACGCAGCAACGCCGCGUGCGGGACGAAGGCCUUCGGGUUGUAAACCGCUUUCAGCAGGGAAGACAUAGACGGUACCUGCAGAAGAAGCUCCGGCUAACUACGUGCCAGCAGCCGCGGUAAUACGUAGGGGGCGAGCGUUAUCCGGAUUCAUUGGGCGUAAAGCGCGCGUAGGCGGCCGCCUAAGCGGAACCUCUAAUCCCGGGGCUCAACCUCGGGCCGGGUUCCGGACUGGGCGGCUCGAGUGCGGUAGAGGCAGGCGGAAUUCCCGGUGUAGCGGUGGAAUGCGCAGAUAUCGGGAAGAACACCGAUGGCGAAGGCAGCCUGCUGGGCCGCCACUGACGCUGAGGCGCGAAAGCUGGGGGAGCGAACAGGAUUAGAUACCCUGGUAGUCCCAGCCGUAAACGAUGGACGCUAGGUGUGGGGGGACCAUCCCCCCGUGCCGCAGCCAACGCAUUAAGCGUCCCGCCUGGGGAGUACGGCCGCAAGGCUAAAACUCAAAGGAAUUGACGGGGGCCCGCACAAGCAGCGGAGCAUGUGGCUUAAUUCGAAGCAACGCGAAGAACCUUACCAGGGCUUGACAUGGACGUGAAGCCGGGGAAACCCGGUGGCCGAGAGGAGCGUCCGCAGGUGGUGCAUGGCUGUCGUCAGCUCGUGUCGUGAGAUGUUGGGUUAAGUCCCGCAACG